rnacentral:rRNA from 1 species
AGAGUUUGAUCCUGGCUCAGGACGAACGCUGGCGGCGUGCCUAAUACAUGCAAGUAGAACGCUGAAGAAAGGAGCUUGCUUCUUUUGGAUGAGUUGCGAACGGGUGAGUAACGCGUAGGUAACCUGCCUUGUAGCGGGGGAUAACUAUUGGAAACGAUAGCUAAUACCGCAUAACAGCUUUUGACACAUGUUAGAAGCUUGAAAGAUGCAAUUGCAUCACUACGAGAUGGACCUGCGUUGUAUUAGCUAGUAGGUAGGGUAACGGCCUACCUAGGCGACGAUACAUAGCCGACCUGAGAGGGUGAUCGGCCACACUGGGACUGAGACACGGCCCAGACUCCUACGGGAGGCAGCAGUAGGGAAUCUUCGGCAAUGGGGGCAACCCUGACCGAGCAACGCCGCGUGAGUGAAGAAGGUUUUCGGAUCGUAAAGCUCUGUUGUAAGAGAAGAAUGUGUGUGAGAGUGGAAAGUUCACACAGUGACGGUAACUUACCAGAAAGGGACGGCUAACUACGUGCCAGCAGCCGCGGUAAUACGUAGGUCCCGAGCGUUGUCCGGAUUUAUUGGGCGUAAAGCGAGCGCAGGCGGUUUAAUAAGUCUGAAGUUAAAGGCAGUGGCUUAACCAUUGUUCGCUUUGGAAACUGUUAAACUUGAGUGCAGAAGGGGAGAGUGGAAUUCCAUGUGUAGCGGUGAAAUGCGUAGAUAUAUGGAGGAACACCGGUGGCGAAAGCGGCUCUCUGGUCUGUAACUGACGCUGAGGCUCGAAAGCGUGGGGAGCAAACAGGAUUAGAUACCCUGAUAGUCCACGCCGUAACGAUGAGUGCUAGGUGUUAGGCCCUUUCCGGGGCUUAGUGCCGCAGCUACGCAUUAAGCACUCGCCUGGGAGUACGACCGCAAGGUGAAACUCAAAGGAAUUGACGG